GUGCUGGUGGUGUAAGGCGAACAUCGCUGCCCGGAAAGCAGAAGAUGCGGGUUCGAGUCCCGCCUGGCGCA
rnacentral:tRNA from 1 species